rnacentral:snRNA from 2 species
GUGCUCGCUUCAGCAGCACCUAUCUGAAAACUGGAACUAUACAGAGAAGAUUAACAUGGCCCCUGUGCAAGGAUGACAGGCAAAUUAUGUGAAGCAUUCCAUUUAAAA